UGGGGAAUAUUGGGCAAUGGGGGAAACCCUGACCCAGCAACGCCGCGUGAAGGAAGAAGGUUUUCGGAUUGUAAACUUCUGUCCUAAGGGAAGAAAGAAAUGACGGUACCUUAGGAGGAAGCCCCGGCUAACUACGUGCCAGCAGCCGCGGUAAUACGUAGGGGGCAAGCGUUGUCCGGAAUUAUUGGGCGUAAAGGGUGCGUAGGCGGCCGAUCAAGUCAGGUGUGAAAGACCCGUGCUUAACAUGGGGGUUGCACUUGAAACUGGUUGGGCUUGAGUAUGGGAGAGGCAAGCGGAAUUCCCGGUGUAGCGGUGAAAUGCGUAGAGAUCGGGAGGAACACCAGUGGCGAAGGCGGCUUGCUGGACCAAAACUGACGCUGAGGCACGAAAGCGUGGGUAGCAAACAGGAUUAGAUACC
rnacentral:rRNA from 1 species